UCAUUAAACUGUGUCCUGAAAAAU
rnacentral:siRNA from 1 species